GAUGAAGAACGCAGCGAAAUGCGAUACUUGGUGUGAAUUGCAGAAUCCCGUGAACCAUCGAGUCUUUGAACGCAAGUUGCGCCCGAAGCCAUCAGGUUGAGGGCACGUCUGCCUGGGCGUCACAUAUCGUUGCCCAAUGCCUAUUGCAGUGCAAUAGGAAUUUCUAGGGCGAAUGAUGGCUUCCCGUGAGCGUUGUUGCCUCGCGGUUGGUUGAAAAUCGCGUCCUUGGUAGGGUGUGCCAUGGUAGAUGGUGGUCGAGUUAGAACGAUACCGAUCAUGUGCAUGCUCCCCAAAAUAUGGCCUCUAUGACCCACACGCGUCUUUUGACGCUCAUGACGAGACCUCAGGUCAGGCGGGGCUACCCGCUGAAUUUAAGCAUAUCAAUAAGCGGAGGA
rnacentral:misc_RNA from 1 species